rnacentral:rRNA from 1 species
AACGAACGCUGGCGGCAUGCCUAACACAUGCAAGUCGAACGAGAACUUCGGGGCUAGUGGCGCACGGGUGCGUAACGCGUGGGAAACUGCCCUUAGGUUCGGAAUAACUCCCCGAAAGGGGUGCUAAUACCGGAUAAUGUCUUCGGACCAAAGAUUUAUCGCCUUUGGAUGGGCCCGCGUUGGAUUAGCUAGUUGGUAGGGUAAAAGCCUACCAAGGCGACGAUCCAUAGCUGGUCUGAGAGGAUGAUCAGCCACACUGGGACUGAGACACGGCCCAGACUCCUACGGGAGGCAGCAGUGGGGAAUAUUGGACAAUGGGCGAAAGCCUGAUCCAGCAAUGCCGCGUGAGUGAUGAAGGCCUUAGGGUUGUAAAGCUCUUUUACCCGGGAUGAUAAUGACAGUACCGGGAGAAUAAGCUCCGGCUAACUCCGUG